GGAAGGUUUAAUUGGGUAUUUUUAAAUAUCUAUCUAGUCAGGUCUGAAAAGAAGCAGCUAAGGUACUUUUAAAUAGGUCAAAUAAACCUUCCAUU
rnacentral:SRP_RNA from 2 species